UGUUCCAGUUUCAGAGGAUCCUGUAGC
rnacentral:piRNA from 1 species